UGGGGAAUCUUGGACAAUGGGGGCAACCCUGAUCCAGCCAUGCCGCGUGAGUGAUGAAGGCCUUAGGGUCGUAAAGCUCUUUCGCCUGUGAAGAUAAUGACGGUAGCAGGUAAAGAAACCCCGGCUAACUCCGUGCCAGCAGCCGCGGUAAUACGGAGGGGGCUAGCGUUGUUCGGAAUUACUGGGCGUAAAGCGCGCGUAGGCGGACUGAUCAGUCAGGGGUGAAAUCCCGGGGCUCAACCCCGGAACUGCCUUUGAUACUGUCAGUCUUGAGUCCGGAAGAGGCGAGUGGAAUACCGAGUGUAGAGGUGAAAUUCGUAGAUAUUAGGUGGAACACCAGUGGCGAAGGCGCCUAACUGGUCCGGUACUGACGCUGAGGAACGAAAAGCGUGGGGAGCAAACAGGAUUAGAUACCCUGGUAGUCCACGCCGUAAAACGAUGUCUGCUAGUCGUUGGGGGG
rnacentral:rRNA from 1 species